rnacentral:ncRNA from 2 species
AAAUCAAUAUUUCAUAUGGGUGUUCUAUGAACUUAAAUGUCGAUCGGUGUAAAUCCGAUGCGAUCCCGUCACCGUAACAGGUCAGUCCUUGCACAAGCCAAGGUAAUACCUGAAGCCGGACAGCAGCCUAUAUAAGCAUCACUGC